GAACGAUUCAACGAUUCAGCUCAGAGAUUCAGCAGGCAAGGGUCGAUUGCAUUUCAAUCACUCGCAGUCUCAGCGGGGCAGGGCUGCCACAAGCUCGGGACCAGCGCCUGGGCCAGGCUGCAUCCCAGGGGCUCAUCCUGGAAUCAGAGCUGUUGAUGGAAGCUUUACCGUAUUUCUCCUGCUAUUGCCUCCUCAAUCCUUGACUCUUGCAGGGCUAGACUGCUGCGCUCUGGCGCCAGGAUUCCCAGUCCCCGCUGGAUACAGCCACAAUAACAAGAGCCCGAGCAGGCACCCAUAAUGGAUAACGACUGUUUGGUUGGCCUUUCCACGAAGAUCUGGAGUCUGCCAAACACAAAUGCUGAUUUAGAACUCAUCUAGGAAUCCACCCUGGCCUGGGGUCCCGGUGUUUGGAGAUGUUUUUUACAGCCUGGCUUAAGACUAGGCAGCACCAAACAAAUAAAUGGAAAGUUCAGAGUUGUGGUGUGUCAGGGACAGCAGGUUCUGUGUGGGCAGUGAAGUGAGCUAGGCAGGGAACCUCUGCUGGCACUGCUGUCUGACAGACCACAUU
rnacentral:lncRNA from 1 species